rnacentral:misc_RNA from 1 species
GAUGAAGAACGCAGCAAAAUGCGCUAAGUAAUGUGAAUUGCAGAAUUCAGUGAAUCAUCGAAUCUUUGAACGCACAUUGCGCCCGCCAGUAUUCUGGCGGGCAUGCCUGUUCGAGCGUCAUUUCAACCCUCAAGCCCCCGGGUUUGGUGUUGGGGAUCGGGCUGUACUCCAGCCCGGCCCCGAAAUCUAGUGGCGGUCUCGCUGCAGCCUCCAUUGCGUAGUAGCUAACACCUCGCAACUGGAACGCGGCGCGGCCAAGCCGUUAAACCCCCAACUUCUGAAUGUUGACCUCGGAUCAGGUAGGAAUACCCGCUGAACUUAAGCAUAUCAAUAACGGAGGA